rnacentral:rRNA from 1 species
UACGGAGGGGGCAAGCGUUGUUCGGAGUUACUGGGCGUAAAGCGCGCGUAGGCGGUGCGGUAAGUCAGGGGUUAAAGGCUGCAGCUCAACUGCAGUAAGGCCUUUGAUACUAUCGUGCUAGAGUGUCAGAGAGGAUGGCGGAAUUCCCGGUGUAGCGGUGAAAUGCGUAGAUAUCAGGAGGAACACCAGUAGCGAAGGCGGCUAUCUGGCUGGUAACUGACGCUGAGGUGCGAGAGCGUGGGGAGCAAACAGG